CCCUUAGAUGUUCUGGGCCGCACGCGCGCUACACUGAUUCAUGCAACAAGUUUUGUCCUUGGCUGAUAGGCCUGGGUAAUCUUUGAACGUGAAUCGUGAUGGGGAUAGAUGAUUGCAAUUAUUCGUCUUCAACGAGGAAUUCCUAGUAAACGCAAGUCAUCAGCUUGCAUUGAUUACGUCCCUGCCCUUUGUACACACCGCCCGUCGCACCUACCGAUUGAAUGGUCCGGUGAAAUCUCGGGACGGCGGCUUGGUCGCUUGCGUCCGACUGCUGAAACUUGAUUAAACCAUAUCAUUUAGAGGAAGGUGAAGUCGUAACA
rnacentral:rRNA from 1 species